AAUGAACGCUGGCGGCAUGCCUUACACAUGCAAGUCGAACGGCAGCAUGACCUAGCUUGCUAGGUUGAUGGCGAGUGGCGCACGGGUGAGUAAUGCAUCGGAACGUGCCUUUUAGUGGGGGAUAACGUAGCGAAAGUUACGCUAAUACCGCAUAUUCUCUGAGGAGGAAAGCAGGGGACCUUCGGGCCUUGCGCUAGAAGAGCGGCCGAUGUCGGAUUAGCUAGUUGGUGAGGUAAAGGCUCACCAAGGCAACGAUCCGUAGCGGGUCUGAGAGGAUGAUCCGCCACACUGGGACUGAGACACGGCCCAGACUCCUACGGGAGGCAGCAGUGGGGAAUUUUGGACAAUGGGCGCAAGCCUGAUCCAGCCAUGCCGCGUGAGUGAAGAAGGCCUUCGGGCUGUAAAGCUCUUUCGGCUGGGAAGAAAUCGCACCCUCUAAUACAGGGUGUGGAUGACGGUACCAGCAUAAGAAGCACCGGCUAACUACGUG
rnacentral:rRNA from 1 species